rnacentral:rRNA from 1 species
AUUGAACGCUGGCGGCAGGCCUAACACAUGCAAGUCGAACGGUAGCACAGAGAGCUUGCUCUCGGGUGACGAGUGGCGGACGGGUGAGUAACGUCUGGGAAACUGCCCGAUGGAGGGGGAUAACUACUGGAAACGGUAGCUAAUACCGCAUAACGUCGCAAGACCAAAGUGGGGGACCUUCGGGCCUCACACCAUCGGAUGUGCCCAGAUGGGAUUAGCUAGUAGGUGGGGUAAUGGAUCACCUAGGCGACGAUCCCUAGCUGGUCUGCGAGGAGGACCAGCAACACGGGAACGGGAACACGGUCCGGAUCCCUACGGGAGGCAGCGGUGGGGAAUAUUGCACAAUGGGGGCAAGCCUGAUGCAGCCAGGCGGCGUGUAUGAGGAAGGCCUUCGGUUUGUAAAGUACUUUCAGCGGGGAGGAAGGCGGUGAAGUUAAUAGCUUCACCGAUUGACGUUACCCGCAGAAGAAGCACCGGCUAACUCCGUGCCAGCAGCCGCCGUAA